rnacentral:rRNA from 1 species
GACGAACGCUGGCGGCGUGCCUAAUACAUGCAAGUAGAACGCUGAAGGAGGAGCUUGCUCUUCUGGAUGAGUUGCGAACGGGUGAGUAACGCGUAGGUAACCUGCCUGGUAGCGGGGGAUAACUAUUGGAAACGAUAGCUAAUACCGCAUAACAGUAGAUGUUGCAUGACAUUUGCUUAAAAGGUGCAAUUGCACCACUACCAGAUGGACCUGCGUUGUAUUAGCUAGUUGGUGGGGUAACGGCUCACCAAGGCGACGAUACAUAGCCGACCUGAGAGGGUGAUCGGCCACACUGGGACUGAGACACGGCCCAGACUCCUACGGGAGGCAGCAGUAGGGAAUCUUCGGCAAUGGACGGAAGGCUGACCGAGCAACGCCGCGUGAGUGAAGAAGGUUUUCGGAUCGUAAAGCUCUGUUGUAAGAGAAGAACGAGUGUGAGAGUGGAAAGUUCACACUGUGACGGUAUCUUACCAGAAAGGGACGGCUAACUACGUG